rnacentral:rRNA from 1 species
GACGAACGCUGGCGGCGUGCCUAAUACAUGCAAGUAGAACGCUGAAGGAGGAGCUUGCUCUUCUGGACGAGUUGCGAACGGGUGAGUAACGCGUAGGUAACCUGCCUGGUAGCGGGGGAUAACUAUUGGAAACGAUAGCUAAUACCGCAUAACAGUAGAUGUUGCAUGACAUUUGCUUAAAAGGUGCAAUUGCACCACUACCAGAUGGACCUGCGUUGUAUUAGCUAGUUGGUGGGGUAACGGCUCACCAAGGCGACGAUACAUAGCCGACCGGAGAGGGGGAUCGGCCACACUGGGACUGAGACACGGCCCAGACUCCUACGGGAGGCAGCAGUAGGGAAUCUUCGGCAAUGGACGGAAGUCUGGCCGAGCAACGCCGCGUGAGUGAAGAAGGUUUUCGGAUCGUAAAGCUCUGUUGUAAGAGAAGAACGAGUGUGAGAGUGGAAAGUUCACACUGUGACGGUAUCUUACCAGAAAGGGACGGCUAACUACGUG